AGAAGGAACCGACCGGAGAGAGCGCACAGCUCCAGCAGGAGCUUGAGACUCUGAAACAGGUUCACUCAUCCAUCAAAGCAUUGAACCAUAUGACUGAUACACUGUAUAAGAUGUUGGAAGUGGUCGUUAAAAACAGUAAUGACCUCAAAGGUUUGAAUGAAGGCUGGCAAAUAUUCUUUGGACAAAAAUGAAUUCUUCGCAUUUACCUCUAAACUGGCCAAAUGGAAGAGCACAGUACGGGGCUUGGUCCUUUUACAACAGACUAGGAAAAAAUACUGUCCCAGUCAUCUCUUAGCUAUGCCGCCCUACCACACAAUGCUUGUGCCUCUCAGUAGAUUUCUGAUGCUUCUGCAUGGAGGAACAUUGCAGUGUGUGUUUACUGUGUGUAUAGGGGUUCAGGGGCUGUUGGGGUUCACCAGAGC